rnacentral:rRNA from 1 species
GUGGGGAAUUUUGGACAAUGGGCGCAAGCCUGAUCCAGCCAUGCCGCGUGCAGGAUGAAGGCCUUCGGGUUGUAAACUGCUUUUGUACGGAACGAAAAGACUCUGGUUAAUACCUGGGGUUCAUGACGGUACCGUAAGAAUAAGCACCGGCUAACUACGUGCCAGCAGCCGCGGUAAUACGUGGGGUGCGAGCGUUAAUCGGAAUUACUGGGCGUAAAGCGUGCGCAGGCGGUUAUAUAAGACAGAUGUGAAAUCCCCGGGCUCAACCUGGGAACUGCAUUUGUGACUGUAUGGCUAGAGUACGGCAGAGGGGGAUGGAAUUCCGCGUGUAGCAGUGAAAUGCGUAGAUAUGCGGAGGAACACCGAUGGCGAAGGCAAUCCCCUGGGCCUGUACUGACGCUCAUGCACGAAAGCGUGGGGAGCAAACAGGAUUAGAAACCCGGGUAGUCC